AACGAACGCUGGAGGCAUGCCUAACACAUGCAAGUCGAACGAGACCUUCGGGUCUAGUGGCGCACGGGUGCGUAACGCGUGGGAACCUGCCCUUAGGUUCGGAAUAACUCCCCGAAAGGGGUGCUAAUACCGGAUAAUGUCUUCGGACCAAAGAUUUAUCGCCUUUGGAUGGGCCCGCGUUGGAUUAGCUAGUUGGUAGGGUAAAAGCCUACCAAGGCGACGAUCCAUAGCUGGUCUGAGAGGAUGAUCAGCCACACUGGGACUGAGACACGGCCCAGACUCCUACGGGAGGCAGCAGUGGGGAAUAUUGGACAAUGGGCGAAAGCCUGAUCCAGCAAUGCCGCGUGAGUGAUGAAGGCCUUAGGGUUGUAAAGCUCUUUUACCCGGGAUGAUAAUGACAGUACCGGGAGAAUAAGCUCCGGCUAACUCCGU
rnacentral:rRNA from 1 species